AGCAUAGCCAAGAAUGAGAAAAGAAUAGAAAGAACAUUAGAGGAAUGAUUCUCUCAGCCAGGGCAAACCUAAGCACACUGUUCCACCUCAUUUGCUUACGUUCACCAGCACUGUCUUAAACCUCAGGAAGUGAAGGUAUGAAAAAAAAAGAAAAAGAAAAAUGAUUUUAAAAAGUCUCUCAUCUGAUGUAAGCAGUGUGAUUUCAUUAUGAAGUCAGAUGGAAUGAGGAGUGUGUAAAUCCAGAAUCAGAAUCCCAGCGACGAAGCUUUUCUUGCUCUGUUACCUUGGAAAAUGCUUUGAACCAGACCAGAUAAGAAAAGUAAAAGUCUGGAGUGUAAUCCUUCCAAUUGUCUUUUGGCUUCUCUUCUACUUCUACAAAAAGUUCAACAAGUCGGUGGGCAGAAGUCUAAAAUCAAGGUGUCAGCAGUGUGGAAUCCUUCUGGAGGCUUUGAGAAAUUAGAAUUUGAAACAACGGAAAGAGAGAAAUUUUAGGUUAGUAGCUAAAUCCCCAAGGAUACUAAUUAGAGAAAGAUGUUGGAAUUGCCUUAAUGAGUCACUGCCAACGCAAGUCCUAAGGAAGCAAAGACUGUGAGUAAGCAAAGGUAGCCAGCUGCUGGGAAGAGGACAAUAGAGGAAAAGGUCAGAGGGACUUUAAAAGACUGACUGUGGGCUCCCUGAGGGAAGGAGGGAUGGAGAGAGUAUCGGGUCCUAUAGAAUACCUUAAUUGUUUUUAUGACUUCUCUUUUCCAUAUCCAGUUCACAUGUACUCCUUUCUGUGCAUUAAAUUGAGUUUCUAUUGGCUUCUUUGUAACAAAAAGAACUGAACAGAAACACAUAUCUAUUGGACAAAGAGCAAUAAAAUGAUAUAAUAACUGUAUCUGAGGGUUUUUUCAUUUUAAAGAAUAAAACAAAACAAAAAUCAAACAAAAAAAACCAUCUAUCUGAUGUUGCUCCACUCCCAACAGCAUCACUAACCGGUAUGUACCCAGCUUCAGCUAAAUAUCCCUAAAACACCUCUUACUUUCCAAGGCAAAGUCUCCCACUGUUGAGUCGUGUUGACUGAUAAAAAGUUCCCUCUGGGGUAAAAAAAUGAAAUUAGUUUUACCUAUCCUGGGGUCACCUCCAAAUACAUAUGCCUGUAAUGUAUUUCAAUUAGAAUACAUUACACACUCCCUGUCACCUUCACUAGGAGAAAAUCAGCAAAGUCAACCAGCAUUUUUAGUUGUCACAACUAAAAGGUACUCCUAGCAUCUGGUAGGCGGAGGCCAGGGAUGCUGCUAAACAUCCUACAAUGGACAGGACAGCCUCUCACAACAAAGAAUUUCCAGCCCAAAAUGUCAACUUUGCCAAAGUAGAAAAGCCCUGUACUAAAGGAGACCUUCCAUAUAAUAGACGGAACCCCCUCUUAGAAGAGAGGCCUUAGAAAUGCUAUGGUUUUGGAGCUUUUCUAUUGAGCCCCUCAUAUUUUCCAUCAACAGCAAGGCCCAGGUAUUAAUUAUAUGGUCUUAUUCUGUGACCUGGUUUGUCAUUCCUGAAAUAGCUAAAAGUAAAACAGAUGUCAUUUCAAUAUCAAGAAGCAGUGGAACAGAAAGUGCCAAGGAGCAGGUGUAUCAGAUACUCAGAGGUGGUAAAGUCAUGGCUGUCCAUGCUUUGGAGCUAGGGCAUCUACAAUGCAAAGGAAGAUUUUAAAUGUGAAUUUUGUGUUCUGGUCUAUGAGUAGAUGAUUCACGACACUAGUUUGAAAAUGCCUGAGUAAUAACUUGACUUUGUUUCUGCACUGGACAUCUGUUGUUUUUGUUCACUGGCAUCACUUCCCUUUUCUUUUUUUCUUUCUUUUUUUUUUUCUUUUUUUUUUUUUUUUUUUUUUUUGAGACACAGUCUUGCUCUGUCCCCCAGGCUGGAGUGCAAUGGCAUGAUCUCGGCUCACUGCAACCUCCACCUCCCAGGUUCUAGCGAUUCUCCUGCCUCAGCCUCCUGAGUAGCUGGGAAUGCAUGCGCAUGCCACCACGUCUGGCCAAUUUUAUUUUAACUAGAGACAGGGUUUCAUCAUGUUGGCCAAGCUGGUCUCGAACUCCCGACCUCAGGUGAUUCCUCUGCCUCAGCCUCCCAAAGUGCUGGGAUUACAGGCAUGAGCCACCAUUCCCGGCUCCCUUCCCUUUUCUUAUGGGAACAGCAUUGAAUUUUCCUUUGAGAAAAUACCUCUCCCUAUAGGGGUAGUUCCUACAAAGUUUCGAUGGAAUUAUGUCAGAGGCUCUUAUACUUUCACACCAUGGCUUGGCAAGUAUCUCAAUCUAGGCCAAUCAGUCUUUGUUUCCUUAGGAUAUACAUCUUGAGUGAAGUAAUGCGUGAAUGGGAAACAUUUAAAGCUGAUUCAUGUGAAUUGGGAUAGUUCCUGAACAGAAUGCCUACGGUUCUUUCUAU
rnacentral:lncRNA from 10 species